AUAUCUCUGAUUCUAGCCACUGACUGGAGGAGCCCGAUGUAUAACACAACCAGCACCUGCUGUCUAUGGAAUGCUUCAAAACUUCCUUUCUGAUGUCAGGAAGAGGUUAAAAAUGGCAAAUGCAGUUGUAAAUAUGGGUCUGACUCUGUUCUCAUUCUUUCCCUCUUACUAGUUGGGUUCAACAAGAGAAGAUCUGCUGCCUGGUGACAAUUUGCACUACAGUAAAUAACCUUUAGUAUUCUACCGUCACCAGGACGAGUAAAUCCUUCCCAUGCAGACGCACUGGCAGGAUCCUGAGGUCCACAUUCAAUGAUGAAGUGAGGAUGUCUCAAUGACUGGAACUGCUUAGAUGCCAAAAGGACAUUGACUAAUGUCAACUAAACCCGCCCAUUCUCGCCAAACCACUGACAGUCUCACCGACCAAUCUGAUAUUCCACUAAUAGAAGAGGAUAUGACAAGAAGGAUUUGGCUGUUGUGUUUUAACAUGUACAAGCCUUUUGUACUCAAUAAACUGU